rnacentral:rRNA from 1 species
GUCCAUGCGGUAAACGUUGGAUACUAGGUGUCGGGGGUAUCGACCCCCUCGGCGCCGCAGUUAACACAUUAAGUAUCCCGCCCUGGGGAGGUACGAUCGCAAGAUUGAAACUCAAAGGAAAUUGACGGGGGGCCCGGCACAAGCGGUGGAGUAUGUGGUUUAAUUCGAGGCAACGCGAAGAACCUUACCUGGGUUUGACAUGCAUUAGACUGCCGGUGAGAGUCGGCUUUCCCGCAAGGGACUGGUGCACAGGUUCUGCAUGGCUGUCGU